GGCUAAACCAUGCACCGAAGCUGCGGCAGCGAACGUAUCACUUAAAGCGAUUCAGCGGGUUACGAUUGACGGAGCGAAGCGACGUCAAAGCGUAUACAAAGUCGAGUCGGUUUAAGGAUACGUUCGUUGGGUAGGGGAGCGUUCUGUAAGCCUGUGAAGGUGUGUCGUGAGGCAUGCUGGAGGUAUCAGAAGUGCGAAUGCUGACAUAAGUAACGAUAAAGCGGGUGAAAAGCCCGCUCGCCGGAAGACCAAGGGUUCCUGUCCAACGUUAAUCGGGGCAGGGUGAGUCGACCCCUAAGGCGAGGCCGAAAGGCGUAGUCGAUGGGAAACGGGUUAAUAUUCCCGUACUUGGUGUUACUGCGAAGGGGGGACGGAGAAGGCUAUGUUGGCCGGGCGACGGUUGUCCCGGUUUAAGCGUGUAGGUGUGUGUUCCAGGUAAAUCCGGUUCACUUUAACACUGAGGCGUGACGACGAGGCACUACGGUGCUGAAGCAACAAAUGCCCUGCUUCCAGGAAAAGCCUCUAAGCAUCAGGUAACAUCAAAUCGUACCCCAAACCGACACAGGUGGUCAGGUAGAGAAUACCAAGGCGCUUGAGAGAACUCGGGUGAAGGAACUAGGCAAAAUGGUGCCGUAACUUCGGGAGAAGGCACGCUGACACGUAGGUGAAGUGAUUUACUCAUGGAGCUGAAGUCAGUCGAAGAUACCAGCUGGCUGCAACUGUUUAUUAAAAACACAGCACUGUGCAAACACGAAAGUGGACGUAUACGGUGUGACGCCUGCCCGGUGCCGGAAGGUUAAUUGAUGGGGUCAGCGCAAGCGAAGCUCCUGAUCGAAGCCCCGGUAAACGGCGGCCGUAACUAUAACGGUCCUAAGGUAGCGAAAUUCCUUGUCGGGUAAGUUCCGACCUGCACGAAUGGCGUAAUGAUGGCCAGGCUGUCUCCACCCGAGACUCAGUGAAAUUGAACUCGCUGUGAAGAUGCAGUGUACCCGCGGCAAGACGGAAAGACCCCGUGAACCUUUACUAUAGCUUGACACUGAACAUUGAGCCUUGAUGUGUAG
rnacentral:rRNA from 2 species